rnacentral:tRNA from 1 species
AAGAAUUUAGGUUAAAUUUAAACUUGAAGCCUUCAAAGUUUCAGAUAAAGAAAAUCUUUAAGUCUUA